rnacentral:rRNA from 1 species
GAUGAACGCUGGCGGCGUGCUUAACACAUGCAAGUCGAACGGUGAAGGCGGAGCUUGCUCUGCUGGAUCAGUGGCGAACGGGUGAGUAACACGUGAGCAAUCUGCCCCUGACUCUGGGAUAAGCGCUGGAAACGGCGUCUAAUACUGGAUACGAGCUGCGAAGGCAUCUUCAGCAGCUGGAAAGAAUUUCGGUCAGGGAUGAGCUCGCGGCCUAUCAGCUUGUUGGUGAGGUAAUGGCUCACCAAGGCGUCGACGGGUAGCCGGCCUGAGAGGGUGACCGGCCACACUGGGACUGAGACACGGCCCAGACUCCUACGGGAGGCAGCAGUGGGGAAUAUUGCACAAUGGGCGAAAGCCUGAUGCAGCAACGCCGCGCGAGGGACGACGGCCUUCGGGUUGUAAACCUCUUUUAGCAGGGAAGAAGCGAAAGUGACGGUACCUGCAGAAAAAGCGCCGGCUAACUACGUG